GAUAAACGCUGGCGGCGUGCCUAAUACAUGCAAGUCGAUCGCUGGAGUUCUAGCUUGCUAGAGCGAAGGAGAGGCGAACGGGUGAGUAAUACAUAAGCAACCUGCCCACGAAGACUGGGAUAAUUUCUGGAAACGGGGACUAAUACCGGAUAGGUGGCUUGAUCGCAUGAUCGAGUCAUUAAAGAUUCAAAGCACUGGUGGAUGGGCUUAUGGCGCAUUAGCUAGUUGGUGAGGUAACGGCUCACCAAGGCGAUGAUGCGUAGCCGGCCUGAGAGGGUGAACGGCCACAUUGGGACUGAGACACGGCCCAG
rnacentral:rRNA from 1 species